UAGGGCCUCAAACAUCAGCGAGACAUGUCUAACCGAACAAUGUGGUCCCACUGUUGCGUCCUUCUACGUACACCUGUUUGCAUUCUUUCGAUGCAGUUCUAUUUUUUCAGAAAAUUGUUACACCAAACAAUGCCUGAAUGGGGCCACGUGCCAAUUACACGUUGGUUUCGUCACGUGCGUGUGUUCUGUGGGUUAUACGGGGUCACGAUGUGAAACAGAAAUUCUGGAAUGUUCGUCCAAUCCCUGCAAGAAUGGAGCAACCUGUUCGGAACGAUAGCCGGAUAUCGGUGUAACUGUGCC